GAUGAAGAACGUAGCGAAAUGCGAUAAGUAGUGUGAAUUGCAGUAUUCAGUGAAUCAUCGAAUCUUUGAACGCACAUUGCGCCCCUUGGUAUUCCAUGGGGCAUGCCUGUUCGAGCGUCAUUUGUACCUUCAAGCUCUGCUUGGUGUUGGGUGUUUGUCUCGCCUCUGCGUGUAGACUCGCCUCAAAACAAUUGGCAGCCGGCGUAUUGAUUUCGGAGCGCAGUACAUCUCGCGCUUUGCACUCAUAACGACGACGUCCAAAAGUACAUUUUUACACUCUUGACCUCGGAUCAGGUAGGGAUACCCGCUGAACUUAAGCAUAUCAAUAAGCGGAGGA
rnacentral:misc_RNA from 1 species